GGCCUCUGACCGGAGGUGACACCUAUCCCUUUGACUCACAAUCCAUCAGCAAGAACAUGUGGAGGGACAGAGUGCCAAGGAAGGUGGUGCUGAUGUGUCAGAAUAACCAGCUAGUCUCCGCUACACCAUGGGCGGUGGCCGUGCCUUAUUCCAGUUAAAUUAACCAGCCUCCACUGCAGGAUGCUGACACUGACAGGAGGAGUUCCUGGCCCCCCAGAGAGACAGAGCUUCACAUAAAGAAAACUGAGGUGCAGGGCUGGGGCAAGAAACGUCUUCCUUUGUGGCUGUUUCUUCGCAUAGGUAAAGUCUGGUGGUUUAAUGCAGGUAUUCUCUCCCAUCCUCCUUACCCUAACUUCAUUUUCAUCUGAAAGAGUGCAAUGAGGAAAGGGCGCUUAGUGCCCGGUGGAUUGGUGUGUAUUCUCCGGUGCGCCUACUUGUCCUAGAGUGCACAGUGGCUAAGACUUCCCUUCCUUGCCCUGAGAAAGAAAGGAUGCUCUGUUCUA
rnacentral:lncRNA from 1 species